rnacentral:piRNA from 1 species
UAGUGGAUUACAUUGAUGGGUUUCCG